CUGGGCUUAAAAGCCAGCUUCUGGGCUUAUAAGUCAAGAACAACAUAUUUUUGCGGAUACCAUCAGGUAGGAGGGUAGUAUCUGGGAAAAUUCGGAGCAGAUACCAUGCAGCAAUUUAAUAUUAUAUUUAACUGUGCAGGCCUUUGAGAAUUUCAUUAUGAAUUUCCUAACACUAAAUUAUUGAUCAAUCUUUUUGACCGGCUUUAUUUCCGGACAAAAUAAAGACCACACUAAAUCUUUGCACAUUCUCACCAUCAUUCCCCAAAUUUCUUACAAUCAUUUUUACAUGGCUAGCACAAGUAAUAAGUCAACAGCCACUUGUUCUUCAUCUCCUCCUAGCUGGGAUGUCUUCUUGAGCUUUUAUGGUAAAGAUACUCGCAGAAACUUUAUUUCCAAUCUUUACUUCUCCCUGGAUCAAGCUGAAGUUAUAACCUUCAAAGAUGAUCCUGAACUUGAGAAGGGAGAAGAAAUUUCACGCGGACUACUUAAGGCAAUCCAUGGUUCAAAGAUGUUUGUCGUCGUUCUGUCAGAGAACUAUGCUCGUUCACCAUGGUGCCUUGAUGAGCUUGUCGAGAUCCUUAGUUGCAAGAGGAGCCAGAAUCGGGUUGUUCCUGUGUUUUACUACGUUGAUCCAUCAGAUCUUAGGCACCAGAAAGGGAGUUUUGGAAAAGCUCUUAAUUAUCAUACGAAGCGGUACUCUCUGUUGAUAUUAUAGAGAAAUGGAAAUCUGCUCUUGCUGAAAUCGGCCAGCUAUCAGGGUACCAUCUCAAGAAAGAUGCAGAUGGGAACGAAUCAAAAACCAUUCAAGAAAUUGUGGAGAAUAUCGCACGACACACAUGUAAAAAGGAAUUGCAUCUUGUAGAAUAUCUUGUAGCAUUUAUUUGUAUCGUUUGUGUAAUAACUAAUAAGUCAAGAAGCACUUAUAAAAAACUAGGAAUGCUAGCUUUUGUUUUAGCGCUUCUAGUUAUUUCCCAAACACUUUAAUCAUUUAUAAGUCUUAUCUUACUUCUAACUUCUACUCCACUUAUGUAUUUUAAGUAGGGGUGGCAAUCGUUUCGUUUCGUAUACUUUCGUUUCGUGUAUUUUCGUGUUUCGUGUACUCGAAGGUGAAACCCGUAUCCGCCCGUUAUUAAUUUCGUGUACCUAAUUUGAAACCCGUAUCCGUUUCGAAUCGUUUCGUGUA